GCAGGUGCGAAAGCAGGUCAUAGUGAUCCGGUGGUUCUGAAUGGAAGGGCCAUCGCUCAACGGAUAAAAGGUACUCCGGGGAUAACAGGCUGAUACCGCCCAAGAGUUCAUAUCGACGGCGGUGUUUGGCACCUCGAUGUCGGCUCAUCACAUCCUGGGGCUGAAGUAGGUCCCAAGGGUAUGGCUGUUCGCCAUUUAAAGUGGUACGCGAGCUGGGUUUAGAACGUCGUGAGACAGUUCGGUCCCUAUCUGCCGUGGGCGCUGGAGAAUUGAGGGGGGCUGCUCCUAGUACGAGAGGACCGGAGUGGACGCAUCACUGGUGUUCGGGUUGUCAUGCCAAUGGCACUGCCCGGUAGCUAAAUGCGGAAGAGAUAAGUGCUGAAAGCAUCUAAGCACGAAACUUGCCCCG
rnacentral:rRNA from 2 species